CGUAGGUGAACCUGCGGAAGGAUCAUUAUUGAAUACGAUUGGAUUCUCGAUGCUGGCUCUUCACUGAGCAUGUGCUCGUUUCCGUCUAUUUAUCUAUCUCUUGUGCACCUUUUGUAGUCUCUCUUGAACGAAAAGUGAAUACCCCUUCGCAGCAAUGCGGUUUGGAGGGCUUUGGAGCGCAAGCUUCAAUUCCUCUGCUUUGCUUUUCUUCUUUCGAGAGGGCCUACGUUUUCAUACACACUAUUAAAGUUACAGAAUGUCUUUUAAAGAUUGCGCUAGUCGCAGUCAUUAAACCUAUACAACUUUCAGCAACGGAUCUCUUGGCUCUCCCAUCGAUGAAGAACGCAGCGAAAUGCGAUAAGUAAUGUGAAUUGCAGAAUUCAGUGAAUCAUCGAAUCUUUGAACGCACCUUGCGCCCUUUGGUAUUCCGAAGGGCAUGCCUGUUUGAGUGUCAUUAAAUUCUCAACCCAAAAGUUCUUUAUUGAGCUCUUUGUGGCUUGGACGUGGGGGUUUUUGCUGGCUUCCUUCAGUGGAUGGUCUGCUCCCCUUAAAUGCAUUAGCGGGAUCUCUUGUGGACCGUCACUUGGUGUGAUAAUUAUCUAUGCCUUUGACUUUGAAGCAAAUCUUAUGGGAAUCCGCUCAUAACCGUCUCUUUGCUGGGACAAUUUUUGACAUUUUGACCUCAAAUCAGGUAGGACUACCCGCUGAACUUAAGCAUAUCAAUAAGCGGAGGAAAAGAAACUAACAAGGAUUCCCCUAGUAACUGCGAGUGAAGCGGGAAAAGCUCAAAUUUAAAAUCUGGCGG
rnacentral:rRNA from 1 species